CAUACGGCCCAGUAACGCGUAGUCAACCUACCCUAUGGACGGAAAUAACCUCGGGAAACUGAGAAUAAUAUCCGAUAGAACAUUAUGCCUGGAAUGGUUUAUGUUCCAAAUGAUUUAUCGCCGUAGGAUGGGACUGCGGCCUAUCAGUUUGUUGGUGAGGUAAUGGCCCACCAAGACUAUUACAGGUACGGGCUCUGAGAGGAGUAGCCCGGAGAUGGGUACUGAGACACGGACCCAGGCCCUAUGGGGCGCAGCAGGCGAGAAAACUUUGCAAUGUGCGAAAGCACGACAAGGUUAAUCCGAGUGAUUUCUGCUAAAGAAAUCUUUUGUUAGUCCUAGAAACACUAACGAAUAAGGGGUGGGCAAGUUCUGGUGUCAGCCGCCGCGGUAAAACCAGCACCUCAAGUGGUCAGGAUGAUUAUUGGGCCUAAAGCAUCCGUAGCCGGCUCUGUAAGUCCUCGGUUAAAUCUGUACGCUUAACGUACAGGCUGCCGGGAAUACUGCAUAGCUAGGGAGUGGGAGAGGUAGACGGUACUCGGUAGGAAGGGGUAAAAUCCUUUGAUCUAUUGAUGACCACCUGUGGCGAAGGCGGUCUACCAGAACACGUCCGACGGUGAGGGAUGAAAGCUGGGGGAGCAAACCGGAUUAGAUACCCGGGUAGUCCCAGCUGUAAACUAUGCAAACUCAGUGAUGCAUUGGCUUGUGGCCAAUGCAGUGCUGCAGGGAAGCCGUUAAGUUUGCCGCCUGGGAAGUACGUACGCAAGUAUGAAACUUAAAGGAAUUGGCGGGGGAGCACCACAAGGGGUGAAGCCUGCGGUUCAAUUGGACUCAACGCCGGGAAGGGC
rnacentral:rRNA from 1 species